UACGAAGGGUGCAAGCGUUACUCGGAAUUACUGGGCGUAAAGCGUGCGUAGGUGGUGAGUUAAGUCUGUCGUGAAAGCCCCGGGCUCAACCUGGGAAUGGCGAUGGAUACUGGCUCGCUAGAGUGCGGUAGAGGAGAGUGGAAUUCCCGGUGUAGCAGUGAAAUGCGUAGAGAUCGGGAGGAACAUCAGUUGCGAAGGCGGCUCUCUGGACCAGCACUGACACUGAGGCGCGAAAAGCUAGGGGAGCAAACAGG
rnacentral:rRNA from 1 species